rnacentral:antisense_RNA from 1 species
UUUGGCGGUGGGCUUGCUUUCCAGAAUCAUGUUGCCCACCGCGUGCAUGAGGUGUGUCUUGCCCAGGCCGACGCCACCGUA